UUUCUUGAAGCAGCUUAUGCUUCUAAUGACUCGCAACACCUGGCUGCAGUUCUUAGAUUUUUCUCAGACUUCAUUCCUGGGUUCAAUAGCACUACUGACCACCAAACAUAUAGUCGUUGUCUUGCUGAGAUGAAUUCUGUGAUUACUGCUUGAGGCCACCUUGACAUAAAUCAAGAAUUUGAACCCUUUAUUCCCUCUCGAAGACCAACCGUUGUCUUGCUGAGAUGAAUUCAGUGAGUACUGCUUGACGCCACCUUGACAUAAAUCAAGAAGUUGAACCCUUUGUUUCCCCUCGAAGACCACCUUUUGUUCAGUGUCAUAGUUUUGAAUGAUGCAAGACAUAAAUAAGUAAAUUUGUGCUAGACAGACAUAAAUAAGCUAUAGGGGUUUUGGAGGAAACUUGGAACAUGUAUUAGAGAAAAAACUUUGAGGUGUUGAUUUAUAGGACAUGAAUGUAGUAAUUUACUCCCUUUUUUUUCUUUUGAAUUUUUAAGUUUUAGAUUCUUUACCGUUUCGCCGGGUGUUCUGGAUAGAGGAUGGGGAAGGGUACACAUGAACUGUUGUGAUGAAGAAAAUGACUUGCAUGUUUUAUACACUAACUCCAUAUUAGAUGUGAAAUUGACCUAAUUGCUCGUGAACUCCCAGCAAUAGUAAAGUGACCUUUUAACAACUUGCCUUUGUCAUUGACAUCUAAAUUGUACUAAUAUAUAAUCUUGUACAAUCUUGUCUUUUGGUGUUGUAGGUCUAUGCGGAGAUAAUAUUUUAUUUUUUGUUUUUUAUUUUUUGUUUAGUCACUCAAUAUUCGUCGAGUAAGUCCCUGGAGUGAAAAUAGCAUGGA
rnacentral:lncRNA from 1 species